rnacentral:rRNA from 1 species
UAAACUACGAUUAGAUACCCUAUUAUUUUAAAUGUAAAAGUUUAAAUCUGAGUAGUAGUAGUUAUGUUCUUGAAACUCAAAGAAUUUGGCGGUGCUUUAGUCCUUUCAGAGGAACCUGCCCCGUAAUCGAUAUUCCACGUUGAAUCUUGCUUAGUCUUGUUAUUCAGUUUGUAUACCUCCGUCGUCAGAAUGUCCUUAUAGGGGAGUAAUUUUCUUGUAUUUAUGAGUAAAAGGGAUGUCAGGUCAAGGUGCAGCUGAUGGUUAAGAGGAGGUGGGUUACAAUAAAAAAAUUUAUUACGGAUAGUGACUUGAAAAUGAGGAAUUUGAAGGUGGAUUUGAUUGUAAUUUUUUAGAUUGGGAAAGUUUGAUUGUUGGCUCUAAAGCAUGCACACAUCGCCCGUCGCUCUUA